GAUGAACGCUAGCUACAGGCUUAACACAUGCAAGUCGAGGGGCAGCAUGAUUGAAGCUUGCUUCAAUCGAUGGCGACCGGCGCACGGGUGAGUAACACGUAUCCAACCUGCCGAUAACUCGGGGAUAGCCUUUCGAAAGAAAGAUUAAUACCCGAUAGUAUAGUAUUUCCGCAUGGUUUCACUAUUAAAGAACUUCGGUUAUCGAUGGGGAUGCGUUCCAUUAGAUAGUUGGCGGGGUAACGGCCCACCAAGUCAACGAUGGAUAGGGGUUCUGAGAGGAAGGUCCCCCACAUUGGAACUGAGACACGGUCCAAACUCCUACGGGAGGCAGCAGUGAGGAAUAUUGGUCAAGGGACGAGAGUCUGAACCAGCCAAGUAGCGUGAAGGAUGACUGCCCUAUGGGUUGUAAACUUCUUUUAUACGGGAAUAAAGUGGAGUAUGCAUACUCCUUUGUAUGUACCGUAUGAAUAAGGAUCGGCUAACUCCGUG
rnacentral:rRNA from 1 species